rnacentral:rRNA from 1 species
UGCCAGCCGCCGCGGUAAGACGGAGGGUGCAAACGUUGUUCGGAAUCACUGGGCAUAAAGCGCACGUAGGCGGUCCGUUAAGUCAGAUGUGAAAUCCCUCGGCUCAACCGAGGAACUGCGCCCGAUACUGUGUGUCUUGAGGGCAGGAGGGGAUCGUGGAAUUCCUGGUGGAGCGGUGAAAUGCGUUGAUAUCAGGAGGAACACCGGCGGCGAAAGCGGUUCUCUGGCCCGUCACUGACGCUGAGGUGCGAAAGCUAGGGGAGCAAACAGGAUUAGAUA